CUAAUAAUAAUUGCCACGAGAGAGAGAGAGCGAGGGAAGCGAGUACGGUCGCCGUCUUCAAUCCCUAGUCUCUUGAUCUGGAGAACACCAGCUCCAAGUGAAUCCCCUUCGAUUUCUCGAUCGCAGGGACUGGGAGAGCGAGAGAAGAGGUGAGACGAACCUCGAAGAGGAGCUGGAGGAUAGGGUUGGAUUGGAUUUGGUGUUAGUUUCUUUGCGUUGUCUGCAUCGGGAAGGGAGGAGGGUUGAGAUUUCAUGUGUGGCGAAGGGCGGUUGACAGAAGAGAGUGAGCACGCAUCGGGUUGAAAUGGCACAAGACGGUGCUGUUUCCGCUGCGUGCUUACUUCUCUUCCUGUCAGUCAGCGUUUGUUGUACUUUUCUUCCGGCGAGAGCGAGGCUUGGAGACCCGUGCCUUUCCCCUCCGCCCUUUGUCCAUGACUGGUCUCUUUUCGGAGUUUCCAUCCAUUGAUCUUAAUGUUGGCUCGUCGGAUAUGUUUGACGAAGACUGGUGGAUGGUUGAUGGUUUUCGAGGAAAGAGCGUGACUUUUGAGAAGGCGAGAGAGUACAGCCUGCCCCUAUUCGGAUCGCGUUGAAGUGGAUGAGCGAGAGAGCAAGGAACCAGAAAGAGUACAUGCGCUAGGCCUUUCCCUCAGCAGAUCGACUGUUCGGCCAUUACGGAAGCCAUUGUCUGCCAGUUUUACCUUCCUUCUUGUUCCCCUCUUCUAUUUUAUCGUCUUUGUUUAGUUUUUCUUCGUUCCUCCUUUGUUUUUUGCUGGUCUUGACUGGGGUUUGGUGGUAAGCUAAUGGGUAUGGAGAAUAGGUGCUCUCGAAUAUUCAUCUCUGCAGUAGCUUCGCCAGGUUGCAGAAAAGUUCAGUUUUGGUUACAUAUUAUGAAUUGUUGGAGAAAGAAUUAGUUUUGAUGAUACUCCAUGAACCGUACUUCUUCAUUCAGGGUUUGGUAAUUAUCGGCCACAUUCACUAUCUUCAUAUUUUUCAUUCCACGUGCCUUGGUUGACUAGAUGAACAAAUUGAGCGAAAGGGAGCGAUCUUUCAUGACCUUUCCAUAUCAAGAUGUCAGGUUCUUUUAAUCUUCACCUAAGCGUUCGUUUCUUGCCUCCACUUGGAGGUGGUACCAUGGCUGCAGUAGCUUAUUCCAUGACGAUCCCUCCUGGGUUUACUAUCCUUAUGGCUCAAAAUCUUGUUGCUUGACUUUGUGGAACUCAUAACUUUACUAGUUUAUAGUUGGUUCCUCCUGGGUGUCUCUCUUUCCUUUUUCUGGUAUGACACCGAGAAACAGACUGUUGCAAAAAAAACCCCACAAGUUGUUUUGGAAGAUGAUAUUUUUCGUUUUAUUGCAGUCCACCUUUGGUGGUCCAGCCACUCAUUUGUUUCUCUGUCGUUUGUGGUUGAAGGAAUGGUUCGGUGUCUGACCAUGGAAGACGACAUUUUUAUUAUUUUCUUUACCCACUGAGGGCUGUCCAUCCAGGUUGGAGGCAUGAAUCUAUGCAGAACAAGUUUUAUCGGCCAGAACAUAUAAAGCCAAUUGAUCUUGGUUAAAUGAUGGUAAAAGUAUGACCAUAACAAUCUGACUAGGAAGCAUACUAAUAUUUCGAUGAAGAUCCUUAUUUCUAAACAAUAUUGUUGUAAAUACUUUAGAAUUGAUAAAUACAACUUAAGCUGAUAUUGACAUGCAAUUGUUGAUUGGCACAGGUCAGCACAGUUUAGGCUAGCCAGCAUUAUUGGCUUGGCAUGGAUUUUGGCAUACUCGACACAUGCAAUCCUUAUUUGUAAGUAUUUUUUUUAUUAAAUAUUUUCAUAGGACAUAGUUGACUCUAUAGUGAGGAACAGAACUUUUUAUAGUCAUGCAAAAAACUUCUGAAAAAUUCUUUCCCUAAAUAUUAGAAUUGUUUUGGGUUUAAAAUUUAUAAUCUCCCAUUCUUUAGUAUUACUUGAAGAAAUUAAUAUACAUCUAUCUCAAAUUAAAUUGCAUGUAUAGGAAAUCGAUUGGAAAUAGCACGUGUGGAAAUGUGGAAACAGAAGCUAAGCAGAAGUCUAAACUCUAAAGCAUGAAACAGAAAACAUAACAAACUAUAUAGAAUAUCCACUACAUAUUCUAGUUCUCUGCAUGUACAUCAGUCCUAUGUCCUUGUUACCGAUGCAUAAAUACUUGUUCUUGUUCAGGCAUUUAGAUGAUUCAACCACCAGCAGAAUUUAGACUUUGUAUGGUGACCAGCAUGUUUCAUAAAGUGUCAAUAGCAUCGCAACCUAAAAUUGGUCCUGAAUUGUAUUUUUUAUUGGUCUGAGAAUUCACAAAUACCAAAUUAAGACACUACCUUUUUUAGAUCAAUUGGAAAGUAAUGUUAAUAUCAAAAAUUUCAACUUAAGAGUUUCUGAGAUGUACAUCUUUUUUUUUUUUUCCACGAACUGUAAUAAAGGUCUAGUUGAACAUUAUGGGUUAUUCCUGUGGAUUAUGUAAUCUGCUAUGUUGUGUACAUGUAUAUGUUAAUAGAUUGAUCUGACCAGCUAAUUCUAUCAACAGGUUGUGUAAGAGUUUGUGGAUAUUGAAUCUUUCUUUUGGUGGACAAGUCUGCUACGAUAAGAUAGUUCUGUUAUGAUCUAUUUUCAAAUCAUGAUAAUGAUCUUUUUGUGUGUGUAGGAUAAGGUUGUAUACGUUGAUCCUUUCCAAACCUCAGUGAUAUGCCUCAUGUGCUAGGCCACCCUUUGUUUAGGAUAGUGGUUUUUUAAUCAUCUUCUCGAAUAGUUAAUUUGGAGUUAGCCUUUAAGUCAUGAGACUUACAGAUUUGCAAAAUGUUUAAUUAUUUUUUCUCUGAUUCAUACAAUGAACUGACAAUUGGUUUGCGGUCAACUACGGAUGAUUAUCGUAGUUACUGCAAUUAUAGUUGUCAUCGAUUCGCUGAAUUCCCUUUGAUGAUAUAAUCAUGUUUAUUGUUUGAGAGUCUUUUUAAGUUGUCUCGUCUUAUUUUAUGGAGUCUGAAAUU